AGUAGCGAAGUUCCUGAUGUCACACUGCCAAGAAAAGCUUCUAGUGAGAAAGUAACUGCCCGUACCGCAAGCCGACACAGGUAGUUGAGGAGAGAAUCCUAAGGUGUGCGAGAGAACUCUCGUUAAGGAACUCGGCAAAAUGACCCCGUAACUUCGGGAGAAGGGGUGCUGACCGCAAGGUCAGCCGCAGUGAAUAGGCCCAAGCGACUGUUUAUCAAAAACACGGGUCUCUGCAAAAUCGAAAGAUGACGUAUAGGGGCUGACGCCUGCCCGGUGCUGGAAGGUUAAGAGGAGAGGUUAGCGCAAGCGAAGCUUUGAAUUGAAGCCCCAGUAAACGGCGGCCGUAACAAUAACGGUCCUAAGGUAGCGAAAUUCCUUGUCGGGUAAGUUCCGACCCGCACGAAAGGCGUAACGAUUUGGGCACUGUCUCAACGAGAGACUCGGUGAAAUUAUAGUACCAGUGAAGAUGCUGGUUACCCGCGACAGGACGGAAAGACCCCAUGGAGCUUUACUGCAGUUUGAUAUUGCGUGUUAGUAUCACAUGUACAGGAUAGGUAGGAGCCGAAGAUACCGGGACGCCAGUCUCGGAGGAGGCAACGGUGGGAUACUACCCUUGUGAUAUGACCACUCUAACCCGCUGCUCUUAGCGAGCAGGGAGACAGUGUCAGACGGGCAGUUUGACUGGGGCGGUCGCCUCCAAAAAUGUAACGGAGGCGCCCAAAGGUUCCCUCAGAAUGGUUGGAAAUCAUUCGUAGAGUGUAAAGGCAGAAGGGAGCUUGACUGCGAGACCUACAAGUCGAGCAGGGACGAAAGUCGGGCUUAGUGAUCCGGUGGUUCCGCAUGGAAGGGCCAUCGCUCAACGGAUAAAAGCUACCCUGGGGAUAACAGGCUUAUCUCCCCCAAGAGUUCACAUCGACGGGGAGGUUUGGCACCUCGAUGUCGGCUCAUCGCAUCCUGGGGCUGUAGUCGGUCCCAAGGGUUGGGCUGUUCGCCCAUUAAAGCGGUACGCGAGCUGGGUUCAGAACGUCGUGAGACAGUUCGGUCCCUAUCCGUCGCGGGCGUUGGAAAUUUGAGAGGAGCUGUCCUUAGUACGAGAGGACCGGGAUGGACACACCGCUGGUGUACCAGUUGUUCUGCCAAGAGCAUCGCUGGGUAGCUAUGUGUGGACGGGAUAAACGCUGAAAGCAUCUAAGCGUGAAGCCCCCCUCAAGAUGAGAUUUCCCAUCACUUUAAGUGAGUAAGACCCCUGAGAGAUGAUCAGGUAGAUAGGUUGGGAGUGGAAGUACAGCGAUGUAUGGAGCGGACCAAUACUAAUCGGUCGAGGACUUAACC
rnacentral:rRNA from 1 species